rnacentral:rRNA from 1 species
UACGUAGGGUGCAAGCAUUAUCCGGAGUGACUGGGCGUAAAGAGUUGCGUAGGUGGUUUGUAAAGCGAAUAGUGAAAUCUGGGGGCUCAACCUCACAGACUAUUAUUCGAACUCACAAACUCGAGAAUGGUAGAGGUAACUGGAAUUUCUAGUGUAGGAGUGAAAUCCGUAGAUAUUAGAAGGAACACCAAUGGCGUAGGCAGGUUACUGGACCAUUUCUGACACUGAGGCACGAAAGCGUGGGGAGCGAACCGG